ensembl:lncRNA
AUGGACUGCAGUGACGUACAACAGGCUGUGAUGUCACUGAGCAAUGGAUUGUGGACACAUCACCCUUACUGUUUAGCUUUGGGUGCUGGCAGAGUAUGGCCCAUUCUGUCUUAUGCCUGGACUCCUAUUAAGCAAUGCUAUGUGCAAAGCUUGGGGGUGCAGAGAACAGUUGGUUUGGGUGGUGGGCUGUGCUUCAGGGUCUGCUGGAAGCAGCUCUUGGUUCCCAUCCCUAUAGCCAUUACUUGCACUUUUCUGGUCUACACGGCUCAGGCAGCUGGGAUCCCACAGAGCACAUAUGCAGCAUCAGAGGAGCUGUUAAUCUGUCAGAAGCAUGCUGACACAGCAUCAGACAAUACCUAACAAAAAAUCAGGAAAGUCAAGAAAAUGGCUUUCAAUCUGUGAACCUAAUUUACUGUGAAUCCUGUGUUGACGUGACUGAGGAUGGAAAGAAAUAGAGUUCCAGUUGUUUCUUCAACCAACUGCAAACCAGAUCUAAAGAUUUGUGUACUAUGUUGUGUUGGUUUCUAAACAUUAUGUAUGUUCUUAUGGAAGUCCGAAUGGCUAUCCUGUUCAGGCUAAUCUAAGAAAAGCAAACUUAAUUUACAACUUAGAUUUCUAAAUGCAGAAACAAGACUUACCUGGACUGUUUAUUUUCUUUUGGAGAUUAUACCUUCUGUCUAAUUUAUCUAGAGGUUUUAUCAUUAUAUUCUUAGAUGAUCCAACAUUGAAUAGGCAUGGCACAGUGAGAAUUCAGACAAGAGAAGAGUGCUGCAGCUCUCUGUAUCUUGUGGCAGUCAGAACAGUAGCUCUGUAUCUGGGCAGCCUGCUAUGAUUACCCCUGGUUUACCAUAUUACACAGAAAUAUUAACUCUUUCACAUGUGUGCUCACUGGAUGGAUGAAGCAACUGACAAUUAGUUUCUUACAAUUACUGUGCUCUGUCUGAUACUGCAAGCAUAAUACAAAAAUUGACCAAUUGAAGAUCUGGGAUCUUAAAUGUUAACCUUUUUCCUUAACAAUCAGUUCAAACUUUCAUGAGGUUGUCCUGAGGACAGCUGCCAGGAACUUCCUGAAAGUAGGAUAACUUUAAGUUGCUCCUUCAGUUUUGGAAUAUACUUUACUGGAAGAAAUUUUGGUUGAUAGACAAACAGCAAGCUGCUAGGGUAAUAACAUUGGUAACCCUUUUGUGAAUUCAACUUGAGUUUUAGCAAAAGCUGAAAGUCAGGUCUUGUGAGUACUGCUUGGUGAGGAAAGAACUGUUUAACUGGGAAGCUUGGAGAAGAAAUAAGUGCUUACCAGAGUAAGCAGCCUUAUUUCCUAAAAACUAUAGCUGAAAAAAUGCUAACAAUUGAGGAAAAAGUGAAAUUGCAUAUAGUUGUAUUCAAAACCCUGUUCUGUUUGACCAUUUUUUUGUUUGGAGGAAAAAUGGGAAUCAAGAGCUCCUAAUGAAUUCUUCUAUUUCAGUUACAUUGAGCUGUUGAUGCACAGCAUCAGUGACUUUUUUUUCAGUUUGCUAAGCUGCCAGGUUUCAAGUCAUCAGAAUAUCUGAAGAAUGAUCACACAGAUCAAAUAGUUGUAAAUAAGAAAACAUGAAUUUGAGAAUUUAUGUCCAAACUGUUCCACUAAAGAAGUUUUUUAGAAGUUAUUUUAGAAUCAUAUUUCUUUCAUUAAAAGUAUUCUAUUUUCACACUCAUUUACUUCUUAACUCAAAGAAGGAACAGAUUAGUUGCAGUGAACCCUGGUGAAUAAAAAUAUCCAUCAUUCUUCUUUACUAGAUUUU